UAGCACAUUUCAUUGACUUGCUUUCUUUUGUGUGAGCAGUGUUAUUUCUUAUGUACUAUUCAAAUAGUUGAAGGGUAAUUAGCAGUAUCACUAAAUAGUAAUGCUGCCAGUCGUCUUCAAACAAAA
rnacentral:snoRNA from 15 species